CACGUAGGCACCAAGCGUUGUCCGGAUUUAUUGGGCGUAAAGGGCUCGUAGGCGGUUCGGUAAGUCGGGUGUGAAAACCCGGAGCUCAACUCCGGGCCUGCAGUCGAUACGGGCGGACUUGAGUUCGGCAGGGGAGACUGGAAUUCCUGGUGUAGCGGUGAAAUGACGCAGAUAUCAGGAGGAACACCGGUGGCGAAGGCGGGUCUUUGGGCCGAUACUGACGCUGAGGAGCGAAAGCGUGGGGAGCCGAACAGG
rnacentral:rRNA from 1 species